rnacentral:misc_RNA from 1 species
UGAUGAUGUGAUUGAUCUUGUUAUUCCAAGAGGUAGCAAUAAACUUGUUUCUCAAAUUAAAGCUGCAACAAAAAUUCCUGUUCUUGGCCAUGCUGAUGGUAUUUGCCACGUUUUCAUUGAUAAGUCUGCUGACUUGGAUAUGGCCAAACGUAUUGUGUUGGAUGCAAAAACAGAUUACCCAGCAGCCUGCAAUGCAAUGGA